CUACACGGCCCGUACCCCAAACCGACACAGGUGAUCAGGUAGAGAAUACCAAGGCGAUCGAGAGAACUGUGGUUAAGGAACUCGGCAAAAUGCCCCCGUAACUUCGGGAGAAGGGGGACCAUGCCCGGUGAACAUCUUCACGGUGGGAGCUGGGUGUGGUCGCAGAGACCAGAGAGAAGCGACUGUUUACUAAAAACACAGGUCCGUGCGAAGACGUAAGUCGAUGUAUACGGACUGACGCCUGCCCGGUGCUGGAAGGUUAAGAGGACCGGUUAGCCGUAAGGCGAAGCUGAGAAUUUAAGCCCCAGUAAACGGCGGUGGUAACUAUAACCAUCCAAAGGUAGCGAAAUUCCUUGUCGGGUAAGUUCCGACCUGCACGAAUGGCGUAACGACUUCUCUGCUGUCUCGACCACAGACUCGGCGAAAUUGCACUACGAGUAAAGAUGCUCGUUACGCGCGGCAGGACGAAAAGACCCCGGGACCUUUACUAUAGCUUGGUAUUGGCGUUCGAUUCGGUUUGUGUAGGAUAGGUGGGAGACUGUGAAGCAUGCACGCCAGUGUGUGUGGAGUCGUUGUUGAAAUACCACUCUGAUUGUAUUGGACGUCUAACCUCGGCCCAUGAUCUGGGUUAGGGACAGUGCCUGGUGGGUAGUUUAACUGGGGCGGUUGCCUCCUAAAGAGUAACGGAGGCGCCCAAAGGUUCCCUCAGCCUGGAUGGCAAUCAGGUGUUGAGUGCAAGUGCACAAGGGAGCUUGACUGUGAGACUGACACGUCGAGCAGGGACGAAAGUCGGGACUAGUGAUCCGGCACCGGCAAGUGGAAGCGGUGUCGCUCAACGGAUAAAAGGUACCCCGGGGAUAACAGGCUGAUCUUCCCCAAGAGUCCAUAUCGACGGGAUGGUUUGGCACCUCGAUGUCGGCUCGUCGCAUCCUGGGGCUGGAGUAGGUCCCAAGGGUUGGGCUGUUCGCCCAUUAAAGCGGCACGCGAGCUGGGUUUAGAACGUCGUGAGACAGUUCGGUCUCUAUCCGCCGCGCGUGUAAGAAACUUGAGGAAGGCUGUCCCUAGUACGAGAGGACCGGGACGGACGAACCUCUGGUGUGCCAGUUGUUCCACCAGGAGCAUGGCUGGUUAGCUACGUUCGGAAGGGAUAACCGCUGAAAGCAUCUAAGCGGGAAGCCUGUUCCAAGAUGAGGUUUCUCACCACCUUGCGUGGUUAAGGCCCCCUACAGACCAUGGGGUUGAUAGGCCGGAACUGGAAGCGCAGCAAUGCGUGGAGGUGACCGGUACUAAUAGGCCGAGGGCUUAC
rnacentral:rRNA from 1 species